rnacentral:rRNA from 1 species
UACGUAGGGUGCGAGCGUUGUCCGGAAUUAUUGGGCGUAAAGAGCUCGUAGGCGGUGUGUCACGUCGUUCGUGAAAACCUGCAGCUUAACUGUGGGCGUGCGGUCGAUACGGGCAUCACUGGAGUUCGGCAGGGGAGACUGGAAUUCCUGGUGUAGCGGUGAAAUGCGCAGAUAUCAGGAGGAACACCGGUGGCGAAGGCGGAUCUCUGGGCCUGUUCUGACGCUGAGGCGCGAAAGCUAGGGGAGCGAACAGG